AUAGAAAUUUCGAGACACAGUAAUGGACAGUAAUAUGUUCAGUAGGUCAAAUAGGUCAGUAGGGCUACCGUCUGGCUGAUGAAAGAAGGAGUCUAUUAGUAUAUAUGGAAAGUUCAUGUCCGUGGACUCUUUGGCCAAAAAUAUGUUCACAAGUUCAAAUAUGUACUACUGUAUGCCUGAUGAAAUUUCAGAAGGCUCAAAGAGUAGAUAUCAAGAUCAAGUAUUCUUUGGCCGGAAAUAUGUUCAGUAGGUCAAAUAUGGCCUAAUGUCUGGUUGAUGUUACAUCAGAGGGAGUCAAUGAGUAUGCAUAGAAAGUUCAUGAUAGUGGAAUCUUUGGCCAGAAAUAAGUUCAGUAGGUCAAAUAUGGACUACUGGCUGACUGAUGUAACUAUGUAAUUAUGUGACUAAUGUAACAUGUAACAUCAGAAGGAGCCAAUGAGUAUGUAUAGAAAUUUUAAGAUUGAGGACACUUUGGCCUAAAAUAUUUUCAGUAUGUCAAAUAUGUUCAAGAUUGUGGAUUCUUUGGCCAGAAAUGUGUUCAGUGGGUCAAAUCAGGACUAUGGCUGAUGUAUCAUCAGAAAGACUCAUUGAGUAUAUAUAGAAUGUUAAUGUCCGAGAUCUCUUUUGCCAGAAAUAUGUUCAAAAAGUCAAAAUAUGGACUACUGUCUGGCUGAUGCAUCAUCUGAGACCUGAGAGGUUAUAUUGCUACAAUGCAGAAGACACUACAACACAUCCACAACACAUCCACAUUGAUUCUACACUGUAAAAAUAAAAGGUGCCUGGAGGAAACUUUUGGGGUUCUUCACUUUGCCACACUGGCGGAACCGUCUGUAGAUCCUCUAGGCACCCUUUCAAAAGGGACAGUUCUCUGAGGAACCACCCAGGUUUCCUGAGGAACCCUUAUAUGAAGCAUUGUGUGGAACCUCUUUGGGUGCCUCCAGAAAAAUAGUUUAUUGCAUUAAGAUCCAUUUUAAUACAUACGGCAUGCACUUAAAAAAAAAGCAAUAGGCCAAAUAUCAAUACACAUUUGAAAAAUAGUUUACAUACAUAAGCAACAGGAAUAAUCAACUGUAAAAAAGCCCAUGUUCAGUUUGUGUUCUUUUCUUAUAAGGGCUGUACAGCUGUUAUGUUGGUCAUUGAUUUGAAUUGAGAGGGCGUGGCUUGUUUGGUGGUCGCGCGAGAGCGGAUCAGUUUCAAUGCGUGAUCAGUAGAGUGAAAGCAUAGGUUCUGCAGUCUUCUCUGAAAAGCAGCAAAAUUAUGCAAAUGAAGAUCUUUUCUGUAGCGACUCACUUUGUGAACUGCAGGGAGAAUAUUUGUGAUCUCGAUUGGCAGUGGAUGAUGCUUAAUUGUCUCAGACUUCUCGUUGAAGUUUCCUUCAUGACGAUUCUGGAAUGUGCGUCAUUGAAGACCAACCACAUUUAGAGUCAUAUACAGCAACGGGAUAAAUCAAUAAAGCACAUCAUAGACUUUGCAAUCUUCAUCGCCGACGAUACAUCGUGCAUCAGGGCACCUGAGACUGCAGCUUAACGACCAGCUUCACAUCGCUAUCCUGACAUCUGAGCGCCUUAAAGAACUGCAGAGACCAACACGGACUGUUGCACUCAUUGUUUUUCACUACAUAUUUGUGAAACCAGCCUCCAUCUGUAUCCUUGAAAUCCAAAUCUGUUAAAUAAUUCAGUUUGUUUAUUAUUUUGCGUAGGCCUACGCUCUCUAUAUGUAUGUUUUAUUUGCUAUUUUGUGAUCUGUUUUGAUUGUGAAUAUGUACACAGUGUAUUUGAUUAUUGAUAUUCAACAUCUUAAAGAGUAAAUUAGUACAAUUUAGUACAA